ACGCUCCCACCGCACCGCACCGCCCGGCCAUCCCGCUGCCAGCGCAGGGCGCAGGCUGCAGCUGCCCCUUGCUCCUCCACCUCAAGCACACCGGGAGCAGGGGCAAAGUGUUACCCCUGAGUCCAAGAUGACAAUGGCAGGACCGGGAGCGGUGCUGAGAUACAGCGUGUGGAGUGAUCUGUCCCCUGGGCAUCAGCCUCAGAGACCCGGAGAAGAGGGCUGGCUGCAGAAAGUGCCAGGGAAUCAUCCACAGGGAUCCUCAGGUGGGAGGAGGACACUUCAGGAAGGUACACUGGAAAAUGCAGAGAUGAAGCUGGGAUAUUCCCAUUUGAUCUUCCCUUCCCGUUUUCCCUGGAGGUGGCACAGCCUGGAAGGAGGCAAGUGUGGCAACAUGGGGGGUCUCAGCCAGAGCAGGACAUAGGAAAGGUGAGUCCUCAUUCAUAGGUGGCCACCCAUCAAUUCAUCUAUGUAGGCAUCCUCAAGACAGGGGUGCCCCAAACGCUCUUUGACUUGACUUGUGAUACCCAACAAGAGCCGUAAUGCCUGUGCCCCAGCUGUGCCGGGCCACUGCCUGCCCCAUGCCUUGUGCAGCCACUCGUCUCGUGGCAGGCCUGGAAUGAACUGCUUCUGCUGACGGCCUCCUGGGCAGAAUGGGAUAACGUGUGGGAUUCCCUUCCAAGUUUGCUCUCACAACCCUCCCGCAGCAUGAGGCAAGGAGGCUCCUGGUGCUGGCGGGGGGAGGUGUGAGCGCUGGCCAUGACUAUGGCUCUGCAGCUGGCUGGCGGGGUGGCCUUGGACCGGCCACUUGCCCCGCUCUGGGCCCUCUGCUCUUGCCCAUUUGUUGUCUGCCCUGUUGGUUGCUGUUCUGGGGCAGGUGAGCCCUCCUCUUUGGCCAUCCACAGUGUUUGGUUGCUACCGAAACAAGGAACAGCACAUCCGUGGCAGGAGGUUCCCUCCCUCUGCCUCCAGCCACAGCGGGACACAUUGCUGGCAUGCCACGGCCGUGAUUCAGACCCUACCGAUGACCCACAUUUGCUUCUGCACCCAAGUUGUGUGUCCCGCAUCAGACCAGCUGCUUUGACAGGAGGUUUUGGCUACUGCCUCUGUGAAUUAGGUCUCGGACCCUGCUGGUCUGAUGCUGAAAUCGGGUGGCUCUCCCUGGGAGGGUGCCUAAGCUGCUGUGGCCCACCCGUCUGCCUGCUGUUGUCACCCAUGCGCAGUUUCAUUACCAGUGCAUUCUUCUUCUGAAACUGAUACAACAGUUGUAAUUAGUUAAGGUUUUCUCUUUCUAUCUCGAGGAGCCUCCUGUCUUCAAAGACCAACUUUUAAACAUUAACUCUUCUAAAUGUUUCCCCCCACGUGAGGCCCUCCCCACCCUGCCUUGUAAAUUAUGUUCAGUCCUUUACUUCGAGCAGGCAGGUACUUAGUGUGAUAAAUUCAGGUUAGUGUCUCCUUAAGUGCGUUAUGUAUGUGUGUGUGUAUCUGUGUGUGUGUGUGUGUGUGUGUAAAGACGGAGUGAAAUAAAGUUGUAUCAAGCCAUAAAUUACUGCUCUAGCACCAUAAAUUGCCAAAGGAAAGCUCAAUUUUUGGACUUUCCUUUCAACUAAAUGAGAUAAUUAAUGUAAGAGGGAAAAAAGUGGGGGAGACCUUCCCCCUCCCUGGAGCCCUUUGCCUUGAUGUUUGGCUAUGAAACUUCAAGGCUGCGGUGGGGUGGAGAUCUCAGUGCUGGAGCGGGGGAAGCAGCAAAGGAGCCAGAGAUCCAGGAGGGUGGGGGUCAUGGCGAUGGGUGAGUGUUUUCAUUUUGCCAGGGCUGUGGGAGGGACUCUAAUGCGGGCUGUGACCCUAUUUAAUAAAAUGCCUAGGAAAGCAAGGGGCCGGGGCAGGGGCGGGGGGGCAGAGGGAGACACGGUGGCUGGGGCUGGCAGGAGACUGUCAUGAGAUGAAAGUGGCCCUUCGUCCAUUCCUUUCCUCCCUCUCUGCUGUCAGCACUUUUUAAUGUCAAACAGUGUGAGUGGUCAGUGGGGCUAGUUUCUGUCUCCACAUACAAUUUUUUUUUUCCCACUUUCCCCAGAACUUCAGCCAGAUGAAUUCACUGCUUGGGAGCGACUAGCAGCGCGGUGCGGGUGGCCCUGCAGGCAUCCUUUUCACCAGGACCUUCAGCUGAACUUUUUUUCAAGUCUUUCUCUGAGGCAAAAUCUUGUUAGGGAAUGUCUCCUUCCUGCCGUGCCACCCUCAAGUCCUAGACCACCCUGGGUCUAAAGCUGGUCUUACACAAGCCACCACCGAGACCAGCGUGGGCAUCACACCAUGAAUAUUGUCCACAUGAUAAUCUGGUCCCUGUGCACUGCACUGAAAUUCAGGGAACUUACAGGUGUCCCUGUGGGCCCUGCCACCGGUCUGCUGGGAGACACUGGGUCAGCCAUCACACAGUGCCUUGGUUUCCCUCCGUUUAAAAUGGGGGCAAUCACGAUUACUUCAUUUGCGAUAAACUUUGAGAUGUACAAAAAAUGCAAGGUAAGAAACUGUUGCUUCUAUCAGCUGUGGUAAUCUGCAGGUGAGAUGGUACCAUACAGCCCAAAACUGCCUCGCAGUGAGGUGGCUGCCUGUGCUGGGACUAUGGUCACAGGGGUAGGUGACCCUGGAGCAGCAAGUGCUGCCAAGUGUUGACUGUAUGUGCGGUGUCAAGUUCUGCACACCUCCGCUGUGCCUGCGGGCCUCGCUGGGCCAGGGCAUGCUGCGCCAGCAUGUGGGUUGAACAUGCACUGGUGGGUAGCACCAGGCCCUGCAGCGGGGCGUCUUGUGUGCAGCACCCGGUACCCCUCGUCCGCCGUGUAAGCGACCUUAGGGGGGUGCUGGCUGCGUGUGGCUGUGGCUGAAUGUGGCAGCCUCUCUCAGCUGAAGAAGGGCUGCAGUUCUGAUAUCACCAUCCCGUGCAGAAGCACCGUCAGACAUCUAGAUUUUCUAUGGUCUGGGUGAGCACAGCCAUGUACCCCCCUAGUGCCAGAGCCAGCACCACUGUGGCAUGUCACAUGUGUACUCUGGUGUGUGUGGGCAGUCCAAGGAUUGCUUCAGAAGGUAAGGAGAUCCAUGUUUAGGCUUCAGUCCUCUUUUUUGAUACAGACUCCUUACAUGGCCUCAGGACCUAGCUCAGCCCAGGUCUCUCUCCUUUUUCUAAUCUUGGUCCAGAGGGCACAGCACCAGGCUGUCACAGCAGUGUUAGGAAAGUAAAUAUUUCCUACACUGGGAGACAGGUGGGCAUCUACAUGGUGCCAGACAUGGUGACACUGGCUCCAUGUGUUUGCAGUGUUUGGGAUGGGCUGGCUGAGCGUGGAAACUGGCAGGAGGUAUGCUGACACUGCCAUUUUCCACAUAGCCUGUGUUGCAUCACCUGGUAGACCUGUGUGCUGAGCCACGGUGAGUGACUCUGGUGUGGGUUCAUUUUUAAUCACCCCGUGGUUAUUUUAGAAGGCCCAGAGGGGCUCAGCCCUCAUGGGUGAAGACAAUUCACCUGUGCAGUGGAGCCCGGCCACAAGACUCCCUGGGAAAAGUGAUUUCUUGCAGCUUUGUUGAUGGGAGCUACCUGAUGAAACUGUGGCAAGCUGAUUGCUUACAGUCAUGAGCCUGAACUGUGCUGUGUUCUGCAGAUGAAGAUGAGGACACAUUUUGGCACUGAUGAAACUGAAAUUGUCACCUUUUUGUAAGUUUAAGCUCAGGUAACCCAGCCUAGGCAAUGGCACAGUUUGUCCCCUCCCUCUCCACAAUGUUUAACCUACCUGUCAAUGUCAACCAUGCUUGACACAUGGACAGAGCCCACCAAAGUAUUCUGUGCCUGCAAAAUGUGCCAGAAUUAAUGAUGGGUUAAAGAAGAGAGGCUCACAUUGGUGCCAAUGACAGACUACUCAGCUAGUCUUCUCUGCUGGCCAACCAACACCUCCGUGCCCAGUGGCCCAACAGCACGUGGCUUGGAGCCAGUGACAGCAGGCAAGCUGAGGGUCCUUCUGGGGCUGUGGAAGGCACCAGAGGACAGGUCAUCCACUGCGGUUAUUGCAGUGGUGACAGAGGGAGGGCAAAGGAAUCAGGACCCAAUGCCAUCAGAAACCAGGUUUCACUGGUCCUGCUCAUCCCAAGACUUGCUUUGUCUUCCCCCUUUUUUUUAGGUCUGUGGAAAAUCCUGCAUCUCCUCUCUGGCCUGGCCAUGCAGUCUGCUUGGAUGAGGCAACGUAAAGCUGCGAAUCGUUUUCUACCUGGAAAGUUUUAAAGAAAGAAACAUGAGACAAAGACAAAGAGGAACAAAUCAAACUCAAGAGAAGGUGCAUGCUGAUGGCAAGAAAAGGGGCUAAGAGCUUCAACCAGCCUGUAAUAGGUCCAGGUACUCCAGCAUAGGAUGUGGGUCUCUGCAUUUUCCCUUGCUAGCAGAGGCUGAAGGAAUGCUUCUGCUGCAGAUGGCCACCACUGCUGGGAUGCAUGCAAACGCCAACAGCAGAACUGUGCAAAGGUGAGGAAGACGAGGUGCUGCCAUGGGAGGUCAGGGUUGUGAACAGAGGCUCCUGGUCCACAGUGCAGUCUCCAGGGUUGCCUGUUCCCAGACUGAGCUCAGGCAAAAUCCUUCUCUUGUGUCCUCCUUGAUGAAUGUGGUUCUUCUAGAUGUCACAAACGGAGAGCCAAAACACUGGAUCCAAGGGUGGCAGUGCCUCCACUCUCUCACCUGCCCGGACAAGACCACAGGUUUCUCUGGGAGCUGAGUCCAGCAGCAUAACUAAGCAUCUGUUCAAGCUGCCUGCAAGGAGCUCACCAAACCGUGGGUGCCUCUAUUUGCCAUGCCAGAGGAGAAGAGCACCAACUGUCCACCAGCCUUGAGCUGGGCUCAGGCAGCACCUCAAAAAUAACAUGAUUUAUCUUCUAUCAGUUGCCUCGGUCCUGUGGGCCCAAAUUCUCUGGUUUGUCUUUGUAUCUUAUAAACAUAAGAACUUCUAAGAAAAGUGUUGUCA